AUUGAACGCUGGCGGCAUGCCUUACACAUGCAAGUCGAACGGUAACGCGGGGCAACCUGGCGACGAGUGGCGAACGGGUGAGUAAUGCAUCGGAACGUGCCCAAUAGUGGGGGAUAGCCCGGCGAAAGCCGGAUUAAUACCGCAUACGACCUGUGGGUGAAAGCGGGGGAUCGCAAGACCUCGCGCUAUUGGAGCGGCCGAUGUCAGAUUAGGUAGUUGGUGGGGUAAAGGCCUACCAAGCCUGCGAUCUGUAGCUGGUCUGAGAGGACGACCAGCCACACUGGGACUGAGACACGGCCCAGACUCCUACGGGAGGCAGAAGUGGGGAAUUUUGGACAAUGGGCGCAAGCCUGAUCCAGCCAUGCCGCGUGCGGGAAGAAGGCCUUCGGGUUGUAAACCGCUUUUGUCAGGGAAGAAAUGUUCUGGGUUAAUACCUCGGAAAAAUGACGGUACCUGAAGAAUAAGCACCGGCUAACUACGUGCCAGCCGCCGCGGUAAUAC
rnacentral:rRNA from 1 species